rnacentral:rRNA from 1 species
AACAAACGCUGGCGGCGUGCCUAAUACAUGCAAGUCGAACGGGGAAAGCUUUCGGGUGAGUACUAGUGGCGCACGGAUGAGUAACGCGUGGAUAAGCUGCCUUAGCGUGGGGGAUAACUAGUCGAAAGAUUAGCUAAUACCGCAUAAGACCACAAGAACUGCGGUUCAAGAGGUCAAAGGUUUUUCGCUCUAAGAUGAGUCCGCGUAAGAUUAGCUAGUUGGUGAGGUACCGGCUCACCAAGGCAACGAUUUUUAACUGGUCUGAGAGGAUGAUCAGUCACACUGGAACUGAGACACGGUCCAGACUCCUACGGGAGGCAGCAGUAGGGAAUAUUGCACAAUGGAGGAAACUCUGAUGCAGCGACGCCGCGUGAGUGAUGAAGGCCUUCGGGUCGUAAAGCUCUGUCGCAGGGGAAUAACACAAUGAAUGUACCCUGUAAGAAAGGAUCGGCUAACUUCGUGCCAGCAGCCGCCGUAAUAC